UACGGAAGGCAGCAGUGGGGAAUAUUGCACAAUGGGCGCAAGCCUGAUGCAGCCAUGCCGCGUGUAUGAAGAAGGCCUUCGGGUUGUAAAGUACUUUCAGCGGGGAGGAAGGGAGUAAAGUUAAUACCUUUGCUCAUUGACGUUACCCGCAGAAGAAGCACCGGCUAACUCCGUGCCAGCAGCCGCGGUAAUACGGAGGGUGCAAGCGUUAAUCGGAAUUACUGGGCGUAAAGCGCACGCAGGCGGUUUUGUUAAGUCAGAUGUGAAAUCCCCGGGCUCAACCUGGGAACUGCAUCUGAUACUGGCAAGCUUGAGUCUCGUAGAGGGGGUAGAAUUCCAGGUGUAGCGGUGAAAUGCGUAGAGAUCUGGAGGAAUACCGGUGGCGAAGGCGGCCCCUGGGACGAAGACUGACGCUCAGGGU
rnacentral:rRNA from 1 species